CCCCGAGCGGCCGCCGCGCGCGCCCCGCCUGCAGCCCGGGCCGGCGAGGCGAGCCCUCCUUAUGCAAAGCGCGCAGCGGAGCGGCGAGCGGGGGACGCCGCGCACCCGGCCGGGCUCCUCCGGCUUCGCCGCCGCCGCCGCCGCCGCCGCCACCGCAGCCCGCGGAGGACCUUCCCGAGCCUGAAGCCGCCGGCUCGGCACGCACGGAGGCGAGCAGGCGAGGAGGGGCCGGGGCGAGCGAGCGAGCACAUUGGCGUGAGCAGGGGGGAGGGAGGGCGGGCGCGGGGGGCGCGGGCAGGGCGGGGGGUGUGUGCGCGCUCGGAGCUUUCGGGCCAGCCACCGCCGCGCGAGCUAGAAGCGCCCCAGCCCGGCAAGCUGGCUCACCCGCUGGCCACCCAGCACAGCCCGCUGGCCCCUCUCCUGCAGCCCAUCUGGCGGAGCGGCGGCGGCGGCGGCGGCGGCAGGAGAAUGGCAUCAGAACUGGCAAUGAGCAACUCCGACCUGCCCACCAGUCCCCUGGCCAUGGAAUAUGUUAAUGACUUCGAUCUGAUGAAGUUUGAAGUGAAAAAGGAACCGGUGGAGACCGACCGCAUCAUCAGCCAGUGCGGCCGUCUCAUCGCCGGGGGCUCGCUGUCCUCCACCCCCAUGAGCACGCCGUGCAGCUCGGUGCCCCCUUCCCCCAGCUUCUCGGCGCCCAGCCCGGGCUCGGGCAGCGAGCAGAAGGCGCACCUGGAAGACUACUACUGGAUGACCGGCUACCCGCAGCAGCUGAACCCCGAGGCGCUGGGCUUCAGCCCCGAGGACGCGGUCGAGGCGCUCAUCAGCAACAGCCACCAGCUCCAGGGCGGCUUCGAUGGCUACGCGCGCGGGGCGCAGCAGCUGGCCUCGGCGGCCGGGGCCGGCGCCGGCGCCUCCCUGGGCGGCAGCGGCGAGGAGAUGGGCCCCGCCGCCGCCGUGGUGUCCGCCGUGAUCGCCGCGGCCGCCGCGCAGAGCGGCGCGGGCCCGCAUUACCACCACCACCACCACCACCACGCCGCCGGCCACGGCCACCACCACCACCCGACGGCCGGCGCGCCCGGCGCCGCGGGCAGCGCGUCCGCCUCGGCCGGUGGCGCGGGCGGCGCGGGCGGCGGUGGCCCGGCCAGCGCCGGGGGCGGCGGCGGAGGCGGCGGCGGAGGCGGCGGCGGCGGCGGCGGCGGCGGCGGGGGCGCGGCGGGGGCGGGGGGCGCCCUGCACCCGCACCACGCCGCGGGCGGCCUGCACUUCGACGACCGCUUCUCCGACGAGCAGCUGGUGACCAUGUCGGUGCGCGAGCUGAACCGGCAGCUGCGCGGGGUCAGCAAGGAGGAGGUGAUCCGGCUGAAGCAGAAGAGGCGGACCCUGAAAAACCGCGGCUAUGCCCAGUCCUGCCGCUUCAAGAGGGUGCAGCAGAGACACGUCCUGGAGUCCGAGAAGAAUCAGCUGCUGCAGCAGGUCGACCACCUCAAGCAGGAGAUCUCCAGGCUGGUGCGCGAGAGGGACGCGUACAAGGAGAAAUACGAGAAGUUGGUGAGCAGCGGCUUCCGAGAAAACGGCUCGAGCAGCGACAACCCGUCCUCUCCCGAGUUUUUCAUGUACCCAAGGGAAUCCUCUACAUCAGUGAUGUGAAAAACCCUGUUGCCUGAAGUCAAAGAGGUGCAUGUUAUAUCUUAAGGUGUGCAAAUCUACCCAAACUGCAUGGUUUAUCAAGAUCGUGCCUUCUAAGGAAGGUCUUCUAACGUGAACGUCCACAGAGACCACUGCUGUUUGAUGUAACAAUUUCCAUGAUGUUCCUGACAUUGGCUAAGACCCAUCCGGAAGCAACCAAGCCUUACAGAGCUGCCUCAGGGCAGGGCAGGUGGGAUACAUACAUAGGGGAGAGGCCCAUUUGUAGCUUUCCUGUCGCCUAUGGGAGAAGCUGAUGGAACUUGUAUAAAUAGUGUUUCCUGGGUUCGAAGUACCCAUCAGUUUGUUUGGUUUUUUUCCUCCCCUCUAGUCUUACACUUAGCUGAGUGGACAUGUUUUAUCCUGACUGUACCUAUGCCAAUCUGAAUGCAAAGAAAUGUAAGGAAGUGUUCAUUGUUUUAUGAACUGGGAUAAAAACCAAAAAUGAAACGAAACCAAGCAAAGACAGUAGAAGUGUUCAGAAAUCUUUUUAUUUUGUAUAACUUGACUUCCCGUGUUGCCCAUGAAUCAUCUAGAGAAAUACAACGCAAAGCAUGGUUUCCCGAUGCCCAGUGUCCACGUGGGGGCCUUAGCACAGCUGUUUCAUUCAAACAUAAAAUGAAGUAUGUCAUAACCAUGUUUCCCUUGCAGAGCCCGUCAAAAUCUUUUAACAGAAAUGGUGAAUCAGGUGUCCUCAUGCAAAGGACAUGUGAAAACACAGACUGUAAGUUCUGAAUUCUUGGUGCCUCUGUUUAGAAAGCCCAAGUGAGAACAGUGGCUGGUCUUGACUCUGUCUUCAUCACAGGCCCCUCAGGGCUUCUAAAUACUCCGUUUUUAAAGUACGUCCUCCAUACCCCCAGGCAGCAAGGAACAGAGUGCUGUCUUACAUGCAGACUUGGAGCGGACCAAUCCAUCAAAAGUUCCAUGAGUGUGUCUUAAGCGAAUUACAUCAAUGGAUUUGUUGGCACUGAGAAAAAAAAAAGGGGGGGGGGGGAUACUUUCGCUUGAAGUGUUUAUUCCGCGGACUUACUUGUUUGUUUGCUGUUUGUUUAUUUAGGUCAUGCUCCCACAUAACCACUGUCUCACCCCCUUUCUAGACAAAGCCUGCCUAAUAUUCUUUCGGUGGGGACUGGCCCCCUCCUGGGCUGAUGUAAUCAAUUGGGGCAGGUAGAGGAUAACGAGCCAUAUCAAGUCAUAUUUUCCGUGAGCUCUAGGAUACUCUUGAGGGGGCAAUUUAAAGAAAGAAACGGUAUGCAUUUAGGGGGGAAGAAAGGGAAGAAAGAGUUUUUGCAACAAGUACGGCACUCGUGACUUAAAACAAAGCCAUGCUCCUGUAAAAGAGUGUUCCCGCUGAAAGCACACAUUCAGUCAUUCACCUGCCAGAGCCUCAGAUUUACUGCUGCCGUUCGCAGAUGCCAGUGCUGAAACCCUCUUCACCUGCGGACUGCUGAAUCUUCCAUUUCCUCCAUCCAAAAAUCACAGUCAAGUUGUUGUUUAGUGUCUGCAUUGUUUUUGCUUUUCCUGGCACCUAAUGAAACUAUCAGCAAUAAAUGAGCUAAGCAGAA